rnacentral:rRNA from 1 species
UACGGCUGCCAUAGCGGCAGGGAAACACCCGGUCCCAUCCCGAACCCGGAAGUUAAGCCUGCCAGCGCCGAUGGUACUGCAACCGAGAGGAUGUGGGAGAGUAGGACGCAGCCGGAC